UACUAAUUUUUUUUAUCUAUUUUUACUGUUAAAAACUAGAAUGAUUGACGGAAUAAUCGAACAGUGACAUGUGACAUGCCACGUGUAUGUCGUGCUGAUGUACAAGGAUCAUUUUUUAACAGUAAAAGUAUAUAAAAAUUUUAACA
rnacentral:pre_miRNA from 1 species